rnacentral:rRNA from 1 species
UGGGGAAUAUUGCACAAUGGGGGAAACCCUGAUGCAGCGACGCCGCGUGAACGAAGAAGGUAUUCGUAUCGUAAAGUUCUGUCCUAUGGGAAGAUAAUGACAGUACCAUAGAAGAAAGCUCCGGCUAAAUACGUGCCAGCAGCCGCGGUAAUACGUAUGGAGCGAGCGUUGUCCGGAAUUAUUGGGCGUAAAGGGUACGCAGGCGGUUUAAUAAGUCGAAUGUUAAAGAUCGGGGCUCAACCCCGCAAAGCAUUGGAAACUGAUAAACUUGAGUAGUGGAGAGGAAAGUGGAAUUCCUAGUGUAGUGGUGAAAUACGUAGAUAUUAGGAGGAAUACCAGUAGCGAAGGCGACUUUCUGGACACAAACUGACGAUGAGGUACGAAAGCGUGGGGAGCAAACAGG